GGGGCUGAGACACAGAGGGAGACAGACAUUCCCUGCUGCUGAUCCUGCUGCUGAGCCCAGUGAUGCCAGGGACACCUACCCAGAAGAGGCAGAUGAUACCCCGCUAAUCCAGGACAUAAAAGUAAAGGACCUAAACCUGAAUUCGUUACACCUGUGAGUGAUUCCACUACAGCAAAUUGAACUGCUCAUGUUCCAACUGCUAUCAAUAUAUUCUGGAUUUGUGAAGAAUGCUUUACAUCAAGACUCUGCAAUGCUUUCAAAGAAUAACCUCAUCAACAGUCUGCAAUUCCAUCAGUGAGCUACCUCACUUAAAAUCCUCAGAAUCUUCAAAGCUUCUCAGAAGAGACUUUUUUCCCUCUUGAAUUGUCAGUGACCGAUUAAAUGACUUCAUACAAAC